CAAGAGUCACGCGUAAGCACGCCUUGGUUCCGUUGCGUGCUUAUAGCAAAACAGGAAACUAUCUUCCGUUUUCGAACGAGGCGACAAGAUCGUCGCCGUUCAUCGCUUCCCAACUGGCUCCUCGACGCACGCUCCUGCCGUCUUCGAUGAGCUUCAAGAGCGGCUUCUACUACUUCGUGCUGUUCGUGAUAUGGUGCGCCAUAGGCCUGUGCUUGCUCGUGUUCGUGCGGUGGGUGCUGAGCUACUCGUCGACCAAGUGAACGCGGUUCGGCGAGCGGGCCACUCCGCGUGGAUGCUGAAGUCCGCGACGACGGAUCCCAAGCGGAAAAAGAGGCGCCGGAAGAGGACGAAGAUGGUCGACUGAAUCGAAACGAGGCGUGCCUUCCUCGAAGGGUCUCGCCCGGCGCUACGUUUUGUAGUCUGUCCACGUGGGACGUCAAGUCGAGACGUCCGGGUCGUCGAUCAGUACACACACACACACGCUCAAUAACCUCCAGCAGCAGCAGAGAGCCCGUUAGAGUCGUCUUGUGAAUCGUUAUUAUAGCUUGCGGCGCGCACGGUGUCAAUCGUCGGAUACCAGCCGGUGGAGCGACGGCGUGACUAUCGCAGUCCGCGACAGCAGUGUAGACGCGUGUUUCGUAUAGUCGUCGAGGCUCCGAGGAAGCCUUCACCGUUAUAAUUUCGCUCGGCAACGGUGGUAGACUCGUAGCAAGAAACUGCAUAUUAACGCUAUCGUCUGAUUUGUGGCCACAGGAAGAGCAGUGCUCCUGGCGACACGUGCCAAAAGUAAGGCCCCACCACCGCAACACACUGCAAGAAACUAGCAGAAAACGUUCUCUACAGCGGUGUCUGGCCAUGGUGCAUCAAGACUACAGGUCACACAACGUACGGAGAAAGUCAAAGGACCGCUUUCCCUGAAGCAAAGUUCAGCCCAAACGAAAGACGCAGCCAGCGAUCGAGAUGGAUGCCGAGGCUCAGAACAACUGUUCGUUUCUACUUGAUUGACGCAAGAGCCACAUCAGAGGCUGUUAGCGUUAACUCUUACAACAUAUGCCGCUUACGUUAAAAACGCGAGUAGCGCAUUUCUUUUAUGACUCGACAGAGUACUGACCCGUCAUUGCAGGUGCGAAGUAUCAGCAAUGAGAACACUAGUUUCAGCAUAGUACUCUUCUCGUGAAUAUGGAAUUACCGCAACGUCAGACCAGCUUUACAAUCUACCAACCGAAUUUUUGAAACGUUUCGUGAAACUUUUUUUUCCGCGUCUACAUGUUCUCCAAUGAAGUCAGUGUAUUUCCUCCGAGUACACGCAAUAACGCACACAAGGCGUACUCAAACUCAAUUACAUGUGCCAACGCACUCACAGUGGCAUUUCAAGCGGUGAAGUUGGGGUCUGUUCAUCAAGUGAUGUUGCAUGCGUUACUUAGGAGACGCAUGUUCUGGCGUCGGACGCGAUGUGCGACGGGCCUUAGAAAUGUUUGUCCGCUCGUACUGAUGAAUCGAACCUGAUGGAACAUCAUGAACCAUGACGGAACCUGUAAGAAACCUGUAGGGUCCGGUCAUCGGUACGACGAGCAGUACGUCGGAUCGGACGCUGAAUCGCAUCAUGUUUUUCUUGCUAUUUAAUGUACACCGAUGGACAAGACCACUCAACAGCGUUUAGAGGAGCUGAAGACGGAAAAAAAUGGGCAUAUGUAAGAACACUUGUUGUGUCCUGCAAGACUACCGACUGAACAAAACCUAUAUUUUGGCGAAGAGACACAGAACGGACAAACAGUAAAUGCAGGAACGCAAUCGUGAGGCACCUAACUUUCACAUUCGUUUUGCUCACGAACCAUUUGUAGAUCGUAAUUGCACGUUGAAUUUUGAAACUGGCAGAACUUUGGACAUAUUGGUGCAGCAGAUAUUGCCAGCCUUGCACAAGAACGCGCUUAACCCUCAAUGGUUGUCACGAAAUUAUCUUUGGUAAAUGCCCUGCCCCGAAUUUUACGAGGCGCUAGCUGUUUGGCGAGCGGUUGCGUGCACAAUACAACCGCUAAGAUGCGAUCAUGUGUUAAGACAUCCGCAUCUGUUGAACCGACUACUAUACCGUAACCUUAACGCUCGGUAACCAAAACUGUACUAUGUUAUUAACGCCAAGGACGGCCGCGCAUUGUUCGAAUAUCGGAGCAGAUAGCCUUGAUUCGUUUUGCUCGCGUUCCAAGGUGUAGAUUAUCUUCAAUCCGAGUGAAGGCAAAUCAUUUCAAUUGAACGAGCGAAUCAGAACCAUACUAAAGGGAAACGCUAAAUCAACUUCGACAGGUACAGCAGUCACGGGAAACUGUGUUUGCGGUCACGCGAAAUGGUGUUGAUAAUAGCGAUGAUACCAGAGACCAAAGUUUCCUUUUCAAUUUUAGCGGCCUAAGGACGUCGCCGAUCACUUCUUGUGACGUCAACUGUCGACAACAUGUACGCAUAUUGAGUUCUUUUUGUGCACGAAAAGCACAUAUAAAGUCGUGAUUAAUUUCUUUGGACGUGAGUCAUGAAGUCAUGGCACAUGAUGUAUUUGUUGACUUUCGGAUGCAAUUCAUCGUACGAUAAAGGAUCAACUACCCGCCAGUAGGCGCUGCCAUAAAUAUGACGUCACAGGGAGCUUGUGCGGAAACUUCAAGAUGGCGUCGGCCACUAGUGUGUUUGUUUUCUUUGCGGCUUACCAGGCCACAACUCGCGUCACGAUUGAUUUAUAAGCACUUACAAAAGUGUUAAAUUACCUAACUUAAUGUAUUAUUAGUGCCAAUAGGCUAACAAUGCGUUCUGUGUUGUAAAAGUCUCUUCCGCAAAUAUUGCUCAAGCAGAAACGGACGCGGCAGGAGCAAUGUGGACUACAUCCGUAAUGGACUUGCUCUGACCCAAAGGCGCCAAAUAUUAUCCGCGGAAAACUGCCAUACACGUUUUUCGAGCAAUAUCAAACUCAAUGGUUCCUGAUAGCAUAGUCGCACCUCCUUUUUCAGCAAUCGCAUUCAGUUACAUAUGCCACAGUUCAUAAUGCACAUGUUGUUGCUCAGAAAACAUCAGUAUUAUGCCGAUUACAUAUUUAGUUCGAGGUGUACAGCUUCGGAAAACGCUGAGCUCUGACAAUGAUUUUUCAGUUUUCGAAAACGACGCUGGCAUUUUUCACUCGUUUGACAAAUGACUCCUGAGGGCCACAUUUCAAAUACAGUCAGCUCUUCCUCAUUCCUGUGAUUCACGGAACUUCCCUAUUAAUUUUUGUUUCGUGGAAACGUUGCAUAUGCAGUCUUACAUUACUUCCCAAUAGCGUUAGCAUUCUAGCGUUAUCGCUGCCGCUUACCACCAAAUGCGCAUGCGCGGCAGGCGAUAUCGACAACGGUGGAACGGUAAGGCUGUGUUAAAAUAAUCUGAGAGAUGUAUGCACACUUGCCGUAAACGUAUAGCAGUAUGGCGCGUGAAAACGCUCACUUCCAAACUAAAGAUCAAAGUUAAGUCGACGUGCCAUGCUGUCUACAUAUGUUCUCGUUUAUAUGGCCGACGGUUGAAAUUACCACAGUACUGAACAGAAACCCAUUCGAGAUAGCUUUGUUGUUCAGAACGGGAGGAACUGCUGCGCAGAACGUAAUCAGAGAGCUGCCGUGGCUUGCCGAAUUCAACAGGACCGAGUAUCUCAGUACAAACGCGAAUGCCAGACAAUAUUCGCAAGCUCAAUUCAUUGAAAGUAUUGCACUGUCUUGAUGAGAGAGAGAGAAAAAAAAACUUUUAGGACUCUGUUGAAAAAAAGUAAUAAAAUGGUACAAAAGUAUACAGCGGAGCUAUAGAAAUUGUUGCAUGAUAUUUCUUUCUUUUCUUUUUUAAGCAGCCAAUAGUCAUGCACUGAACAGCAUAACUUUCCACUAGAGCGUCACUAGAGAAAUUGCCACUAGCGUCACUGUACAUUCGUACACAGCAGUGUUGAUGUUAGGAUGCUGAAAGUUCUGACAUUGGCCAGCUCUGUCAAAGAAUGUCAGCACUGUCAAAGAAAGAAUGUCAUGCAGUGUCAAACAGAAGUUGUGGUUUCAAACCGCCGACGCUACAGAACUGGACUAAAUUUAGCGGGUCUGCAAUCACUGAGAAACUAUUUCAGAGAUCUUUGUGUUCAUAAGCUUCAAGCAAGUAGAGGAAUGCGAUGUGCUUGCGAAAUAGUUCGGCCUUAGAAACUCGCUCUUCUUACUUCAUAUUGGCGCUGUUCAAAAUCAACACAUGAUUACUGAUACGAUUUUGCGGCAAGAGAUUCGUCGUUUGCUGCACAUUUCUGUCGCGAAGAUGAGUGUCUGCUAAAACCUACACUGGCGCUUGUCAAUCAAUAUGACAUAUCUUUUUUUUUGACAAAUUGGCGUUAAUGAUAAUUUUGCUGCGUUCGACGAACGUUGUCGCAGAAAUUUGCAGCGAGACGUCUCUGCGCUCACGAAGAAUACGAGACAUCUCCAGUUUUGUAGCGUUGUUAAUGGACCAGAAUAUACGAGCACCUCAUUUGACAGCGCGAGUGCCGUCGACUGCACUCAAUUCCUGCAGAUGGACUCUGCUUUUGUCCUCCGAGUUGACAGCACAGCACAGAUCUCGGAGGAUGUGCUCUGGGGGUUUGGCAUACACGCGAUUCCACAGACAGCACGCUAAUGAUAGCUAUCAGAACACUUGCACAGCGCGAAAACGCUCGUCGAAUGCCGAAACCUUUAAACCUUUAAAGGUUUUAAGGUUAAAGGUUUAAAGGUUUUGUAACCUUUAAAGGUUACAUGAACGAACCGAAUUGCGCCGCUACGUCGUUUUGCUUCGCCGCGCCGGCAACAGAUGUCGCCACUGGCAUCGCCAAUAUGGCGGCGGAAGGCCACUAGCUCCGUACAUCAUCUGUUUGUCACUGCAGGGUGUGUUCACGUUUCACGCCCUUGGAUCAAGCACUAAGUAAUGCUCACGGUACCCUCGUAGCGUACCUCGAGGAGACGUAUAAUAGUAAUAAUAUUACUAGUAACCUGGCAGGCGUUGUGUAUAACUACUGUAAUCGUGCCGCACGCAGGGGCGCGGUCUCUUUGUCUUCUUGCGCCGAUAAUUGCAGUUUCUAUGCAGAUGCUAUCGUCAGGGUGCUGUUUGUUCUCUUUUGUAGAUGCCGCUGCCGCCGCCGCCUGUGUGCCGGUGCGCGGCUGUAUUGAAAAAAAAAUUAUUCUGUACCUGUAGACUGGAUCUCAGUACCAAAUAAAGGCGACUUUUUAGAA